GUCACUUUGCCGGAGUGGUUAACGGGAUCGCCUGCUAUAUACAGCUAAGCGGUUGGGCUUUGCCCGCGAGUGUUCGAAUCGCUCAGGUGACG